rnacentral:rRNA from 1 species
GACGGAGGGUGCAAGCGUUUGUUCGGAUUGACUGGGCGUAAAGGGCGCGUAGGCGGCCGAUCAAGUCAGAGGUGAAAGCCCAGGGCUCAACCCUGGAAUUGCCUUUGAUACUGUUUGGCUAGAGACCGGAAGAGGUAAGUGGAACUGCGAGUGUAGAGGUGAAAUUCGUAGAUAUUCGCAAGAACACCAGUGGCGAAGGCGGCUUACUGGUCCGGUUCUGACGCUGAGGCGCGAAAGCGUGGGGAGCAAACAGG